UCUCUUGAAAUCUGUGAUUUUUACAGCUAUAAUUAUUUUCGCUGAGCAAUCAGCUAUGACACUAGAGGCAGUAUGAAAUAGGCUUUUAGGACCCGGGGGCAGUACCCGGCACCUCCACCAGACCUGACAGGUCAGACAACAAAUAAUUAUUUGUGCGAUAUAAAGGAUUUGGAGAAUAAGUUUGCUGCACCGUUAAUUUUUUCACCGUGUACAACCGAGUACACCGGAAUAAAAACUAACGAGCAUAAAACUUGCUGUACAAAUCAUUCUAUGGGGGUGAAACAGGAUUGACUGGGAGCAGUAAAGAUACGAGCUGUGUCCGGUGAGAUACCACCGUUAUCGGUUCAAAUUAAAACGAAUGCUAACGAUAAUAACGUAGCACCGGUUGCUUUGGCUGCUUAGUCUAAAGCGACAAAUCUAAAUCCUCGGCACCUUGGUUGGUGCUGAGUGGGGUCUGGGCCACCUAGCAACAGAACGGCCCGUUU
rfam:Azospirillum sp. CAG:260 genomic scaffold, scf124